AUUGAACGCUGGCGGCAUGCCUUACACAUGCAAGUCGAACGGUAACAGAUCUUCGGAUGCUGACGAGUGGCGAACGGGUGAGUAAUACAUCGGAACGUGCCUAGUAGUGGGGGAUAACUACUCGAAAGAGUGGCUAAUACCGCAUGGGAUCUACGGAUGAAAGCAGGGGAUUGCAAGACCUUGUGCUACUAGAGCGGCCGAUGGCAGAUUAGGUAGUUGGUGGGAUAAAAGCUUACCACGCCGACGAUCUGUAGCUGGUCUGAGAGGACGAUCAGCAAAACUGGGACUGAGACACGGACCAGACUACUACGGGGGGCAGCAGUGGCGAAUGUUGGACAAUGGGCGCAAGCCUGAUCCAGCAAUGCCGCGUGCAGGAUGAAGGCCUUCGGGUUGUAAACGGCUUUUGUACGGAACGAAAAGCCCUGGGUUAAUACCCUGGGGUCAUGACGGUACCGUAAGAAUAAGCACCGGCUAACUACGUGCCAGCCGCCGCGUAACAC
rnacentral:rRNA from 1 species